AAGAAGUUAGUUAAACUAUAACAUAAGAUUGUCAAUUUUGAAUUACUAAUUUAUUAGUACUUCUUA
rnacentral:tRNA from 1 species